AGAAUCAACGCUGGCGGCGUGCCUAACACAUGCAAGUCGCACGAGAAAGGGGCUUCGGCCCUGAGUACAGUGGCGCACGGGUGAGUAACACGUGAAUCAUCUACCUCCGAGUGGGGAAUAACUGAGAGAAAUCUUAGCUAAUACCGCAUAACACUUACGAGUCAAAGCAGCAAUGCGCUUGGAGAGGAGUUCGCGGCAGAUUAGUUAGUUGGCGGGGUAAUGGCCCACCAAGACGAUGAUCUGUAUCCGGCCUGAGAGGGCGCACGGACACACUGGAACUGAAACACGGUCCAGACUCCUACGGGAGGCAGCAGUGGGGAAUUUUGCGCAAUGGGGGAAACCCUGACGCAGCAACGCCGCGUGGAGGAUGAAAUCCCUUGGGAUGUAAACUCCUUUCGAUAGGGAAGAUAAUGACGGUACCUAUAGAAGAAGCCCGGCUAACUUCGCGCCAGCAGCCGC
rnacentral:rRNA from 1 species